rnacentral:rRNA from 1 species
UCCGUAGGUGAACCUGCGGAGGGAUCAUUACCGAGUUUACAACUCCCAAACCCCUGUGAACAUACCAAUUGUUGCCUCGGCGGAUCAGCCCGCUCCCGGUAAAACGGGACGGCCCGCCAGAGGACCCCUAAACUCUGUUUCUAUAUGUAACUUCUGAGUAAAACCAUAAAUAAAUCAAAACUUUCAACAACGGAUCUCUUGGUUCUGGCAUCGAUGAAGAACGCAGCAAAAUGCGAUAAGUAAUGUGAAUUGCAGAAUUCAGUGAAUCAUCGAAUCUUUGAACGCACAUUGCGCCCGCCAGUAUUCUGGCGGGCAUGCCUGUUCGAGCGUCAUUUCAACCCUCAAGCCCAGCUUGGUGUUGGGACUCGCGAGUCAAAUCGCGUUCCCCAAAUUGAUUGGCGGUCACGUCGAGCUUCCAUAGCGUAGUAGUAAAACCCUCGUUACUGGUAAUCGUCGCGGCCACUCCGUUAAACCCCAACUUCUGAAUGUUGACCUCGGAUCAGGUAGGAAUACCCGCUGAACUUAAGCAUAUCAAUAAGCGGAGGA